AUGGAUGCCUGUUAUGGACUUUGGCAUUAAACCUCACCUUCUGGUUUCUGAACAUUACCCAGACAUUGUAGAAGUUCAGGUCAAAUAUUAACCCAGACAAAGGCCCAUGUUUGAGACUGUCUGACUGCAGACGCCGAAGAGCAAGUUCCAAAUUCUUGACAUACUGCAGAGCAUUCAAACCAUCUUCAGGGUGCUGUAGGAAGCAUAUAAAUAGAUCUACCAGUUGCUGAAAUUCCUCUUUUGUUUCAGCAGAGACUCCAAUCAACUGGCUCAAGUAGACCUGCUUCGAUCCGUGCCAGUCCUAUAAGAACAGAAAACAUGGGGGAUGAAUUUUAUUAUCCUUCUCUGGAAAGCGUGGUCCACACCUUUUGUGUCAUAGAUACUAGGGAACAUAAUAGAGUAAGUGCCUGUUUGUGUAAGCUUCAGGUGCUGUGUAAAAUUUGUCAGACACUGCGCCACAACUUGGAUACAGAGCCAUUUUUGUUGCCCCACUUGAGGGAACUAAUUAUCAGACACCUAACACUAUUGGAGAGGUUGUCCACUACCUCCAAAUUUCAGCGCAUACUCGACUACAUGAAGCUAUCCCUUGAGGCAAAUGAUUCAAACUUGUUACAAGACUUGGCCAUAGGCACUGUCAAUUUACUGGGCUGUCAAAGUCCAGAGAUUUUGUCUAUCCCAUAUGACAAAGAUCAGCCUGUACAUGAAUGGUGUGCAUGUUUCCUGACCUCUGUAGACGAGGAAGCCUUGAGAAAAAUAUCUUCUAUGUUGGACAAUAAACACUUUUCUUAUAUGUACAACUUUAAAACAUUCUUAAAGUAUUCACUAGAGUUAGAAACAGCUGCAGACUUUGAUUUAUCUACUGGACUCAAUGUCCUUGUGUAUUGGGUAAGCGUCUUUAAACUGUUCAGUGUUUGUGUCCAAAGUCAGUUUCUGCUGGACAGCCUUGUGGCAUUUAAUGCCCUUUUUAAAAAUCAUGUAAAAGAGUUAGAAGCGAUUGUGGAAUCUGACACAAACCUGCUCUGCUAUAGCACAUCUGUUGUGUGGGCAAAAUUGUCUAACUUAAACCAUCUGCUCCACAGACUUCAGACUAGUAACAACACUUUAGUUUUUGAUGAAAUACUGAUCUGUCUGCGUGGUUUACAAAUUUAUAUAAAAUGUUUACCUACCUUAUCGGCUGAAGGGGAAUCCGAGUCAGAGGCCAUCGCUGCAGAAAUUCCCUCGUAGUGCAGGAGUUGUAUUUUUGAGUGUAGAUUGAAAAGAGUUGUGCUCUCUCCUCAGCCUUUGAAGGGACAUUUCAUGACUCAUGUAGGAGGAGCUACCAGAUUUCCAUAAAAGUGGGAGGCUAUUAUUUCUUGCAGACUGCAGCACAUUGUGGGAUAAUGUGUUCAAAAAUGGACCUUGAAACCCGUGAAGGUGGUGGUUGCCAGCAGGUUUCAAUUCUCAUGGUCACAUCUGACAGAGAAAAGGAACAGUAUGAGAAAUUUAUGAACAUACUUAAGAAUCUUUCAAAUUGUACUGAUAUAUCUCAGGUCGUGGCAGAUGCUAAAAAAAUCUAUGAUUCCAGGGAAUUUUGUUAUGUGCCUGCCCUUCUCACUCUGUUCAAGAAGUUGCCUUCUGUUCAUAAAUGGCCUGAAAAUGAAAACUGUAAUGAGGUGCUAAGUGCUGCCUUCUUUGUGUGCCAGCUCUUAUUUUUUCAUAACUUCCCAGCCUCACCAGCUUUUACAGUGGAUGAAAUGUUUGCAACAGUGGCUGCUAGAUUGAAGGAUCUGAUAGAAUAUUCAUGUGACUGUGAGAACUGUGAAUUGUUGGCUGAAUCCCUGACAAAUUAUAAGUUUUCCCUGGUACCUAUAAAGAUCAGGCCACACACCGAUACCUGUGUCUCACUGAAAACACUCCAGCGGCUACGGACUGCCAUGUUAGGCAAUCCUGAAACCCUGAGUAUUUGGACCCUUGAUGACCUGGUGGAGGACCCAGUAGUCUUCAAAGGCUAUGAAAGCGCAAUUAGGAGAGAAUUUGCUGAGCAUGUCACAUGUUUGAACAUGUGCUGGGUUGUGAAGAUAAUCUUGGACUGCAUGUCUCAGCCAACAGCUCUGCUUCGGGAUUGUAUUCAGAAGGGUGCAAAGAAUAAUGGACUCCAGCUGGACACUUCGAGUACCUGGACGUGGCCAGCAGCACGUAUUGCUGAAAAGGAAGUCAUAGAACAUACCAUGAGUGUUUGUGUACAGGAUAUGACUAGAAGUCAUGAUCAGGAAUUCUACACAGAGGCCUUUAAGGAAGAUCUCCAUAUAGGAUUAAAGAGACUAGUUGCCAUGGUCCUUGGGCAGAAUCAUAGUUGGUUAGAUGGCUUUCUGACAGACACUAUAGUGACAGGUAAAGCAUAGCCUGGGGCAUAGUUCUUUGAUGAAUCAUCAUAAAUAUGAUGGCUAAUGUGGUCCUUUUGUGUAUUAAUGCAGAUAUGUUUAUGUAUCCAGGUGUGUUGCUUGAAAGGUAUUUUGCUGUACUAACCCAACACCACCUAUUUAUCAUGUUUGGAAGCCUAUUAAAAACUGUGCUAUUGAC
rnacentral:tmRNA from 1 species